rnacentral:rRNA from 1 species
UACGGAGGGUGCGAGCGUUAAUCGGAAUUACUGGGCGUAAAGCGCACGCAGGCGGUUUGUUAAGCUAGAUGUGAAAGCCCCGGGCUCAACCUGGGAUGGUCAUUUAGAACUGGCAGACUAGAGUCUUGGAGAGGGGAGUGGAAUUCCAGGUGUAGCGGUGAAAUGCGUAGAUAUCUGGAGCAACAUCAGUGGCGAAGGCGACUCCCUGGCCAAAGACUGACGCUCAUGUGCGAAAGUGUGGGUAGCGAACAGG